GACGAACGCUGGCGGCGUGCUUAACACAUGCAAGUCGAACGAAGAGCGAUGGAAGCUUGCUUCUAUCAAUCUUAGUGGCGAACGGGUGAGUAACGCGUAAUCAACCUGCCCUUCAGAGGGGGACAACAGUUGGAAACGACUGCUAAUACCGCAUACGAUCUAAUCUCGGCAUCGAGGAUAGAUGAAAGGUGGCCUCUACAUGUAAGCUAUCACUGAAGGAGGGGAUUGCGUCUGAUUAGCUAGUUGGAGGGGUAACGGCCCACCAAGGCGAUGAUCAGUAGCCGGUCUGAGAGGAUGAACGGCCACAUUGGGACUGAGACACGGCCCAGACUCCUACGGGAGGCAGCAGUGGGGAAUCUUCCGCAAUGGACGAAAGUCUGACGGAGCAACGCUGCGUGAGCGAUGACGGCCUUCGGGUUGUAAAGCUCUGUUAAUCGGGACGAAAGGCCUUCUUGCGAAUAGUGAGAAGGAUUGACGGUACCGGAAUAGAAAGCCACGGCUAACUACGUG
rnacentral:rRNA from 1 species